AUUAAUACUUGUAAAUUUUGUUUAUGUUUUGUCGGAAAGUGGCGUAGGGAAAGUAUCAAGAACUUACAAAAGGCGAGUUAGAUAGCCCAUGAUAUACAUUCCACCCAUCUAGUAAAGCCAUAUCAAUAGCAACACUGAUGUUGUCAACAUCACCGCCACAUAACAUUUAUGCAAGAAGAAUCCCUGUUGAAUUCUAAACUUCUGUAACACAUAAAACAGAACAUUUAUAGUUUCUGAUAAGGAUUUUAUGAAAAGAUCUUUUUUUUUUG
rnacentral:lncRNA from 1 species